GACGAACGCUGGCGGCAUGCCUAACACAUGCAAGUCGAACGAGACCUUCGGGUCUAGUGGCGCACGGGUGCGUAACGCGUGGGAACCUGCCCUUAGGUUCGGAAUAACUCCCCGAAAGGGGUGCUAAUACCGGAUAAUGUCUUCGGCCCAAAGAUUUAUCGCCUUUGGAUGGGCCCGCGUUGGAUUAGCUAGUUGGUAGGGUAAAAGCCUACCAAGGCGCCGAUCCAUAGCUGGUCUGAGAGGCUGAUCAGCCACACUUGGACUGGGACACGGCCCAGACUCCUACGGGAUGCAGCAGUGGGUAAUAGUGGACAGCGGGCGAAAGCCUGAUCCAGCAAUGCCGCGUGAGUGAUGAAGUCCUUAGGGUUGUAAAGCUCUUUUACCUGUGAUGAUAAUGACAGUACCGGGACAAUAAGCUCCGGCUAACUCCGUG
rnacentral:rRNA from 1 species